ACAAGAGGACCUGCAAUCAAGAGAUCUUCACAUUUGAAAUGGUUUUCCUCCAAAAAUUCAUCAUGAACAUGACUUAAAAUUCAAGUUUGGAACCUCAACUUCCCAUUUUCGAAACUCACAGCUCAUGCAUGGGAAAAAAUGUACUUGUACUUUUUAAAAAUCCCCAAACAUGCUCUAUAACUUUCAUGUUUUGAGUUUUUUCUGAAUCAAAGUGGAUCAUGAUGAAAACUGGCUGUAAAGUUUAUCACUUUUUAGGGAUCAAAGC
rnacentral:lncRNA from 1 species